ACCAGACUCAUUUGAUUUCUUUUGGUGUGGAUGAAUGAAAGGUUUGAUGGGGGUUAGCUGUCUCAGACUUAAACCUAUGAAUUUUAUUUUUAAGGAAAAGAGCUUAAAUAGUAUAAAGGGACGAGAAGACCCUAUUAAAUUUUAUUAUUAUUAAGUAAAAUUUUGUUUGGAUAAAAUUUUUAUUUUAAAAAUAAUUUUGCUGGGGCGGUAAAUAAUUAACCUUAUUGUUUUUUUAAUAAUUUAAUUAGCCUUGUUAUGAUCCACUAAGUGUGAUAUUAAGACUAAAUUACUAUAGGGAUAACAGCGUAAUGUUUUUUGAGAGUUCAUAUUGACAAAAAUGUUUGCGACCUCGAUGUUGGAUUAAGGAAUCUUAUUGGUGUAGUAGUUGAUAAAGAGGGUCUGUUCGACCCUUA
rnacentral:rRNA from 1 species